rnacentral:rRNA from 1 species
AGAGUUUGAUCCUGGCUCAGGACGAACGCUGGCGGCAUGCCUAAUACAUGCAAGUCGAGCGGAGUAAGAAUGGAAGCUUGCUUCCAUUCUUACUUAGCGGCGGACGGGUGAGUAACACGUAGGCAACCUGCCCUCAAGACUGGGAUAACUACCGGAAACGGUAGCUAAUACCGGAUAAUUUCUUUCCUCUCCUGAAGAGAGAAUGAAAGGUGGAGCAAUCUGCCGCUUGGGGAUGGGCCUGCGGCGCAUUAGCUAGUUGGUGGGGUAACGGCUCACCAAGGCGACGAUGCGUAGCCGACCUGAGAGGGUGAACGGCCACACUGGGACUGAGACACGGCCCAGACUCCUACGGGAGGCAGCAGUAGGGAAUCUUCCGCAAUGGGCGAAAGCCUGACGGAGCAAUGCCGCGUGAGUGAUGAAGGUUUUCGGAUCGUAAAGCUCUGUUGCCAGGGAAGAACGUCCGGUAGAGUAACUGCUACCGGAGUGACGGUACCUGAGAAGAAAGCCCCGGCUAACUACGUGCCAGCAGCCGCGGUAAUAC